GGAAGACUCCUAUCCCCAGAGCUGCGUGGUGGAAGUAUUGGUGCAAAAAACUUGGAGAAUGAUGUAACUUCCAGAAAACUUCAAGUAGUCCCAGCUAAACUUUUCUUGUUUACAAGAUGACUUUUGGACAAAGAUGAUAUGGCGCAUUUCCCUUUGGAGCACAUUUUUACAGCUGUAUUAUAAAUUCCUAAAUUGAGGCUCUAGACCUUGCCCCAACAUUUAUCCAACAGAGAAAGUUAUGUAAAAAUACACUAGAGGAUCACUCAUUGAAGUCGAGACGAAACGCUCCUUUCACUAUCACGGACUGUAAGAAAGAAAUGGAGACGGCGGGUUGGCAGGGCCCUAUAUGCAGAGCCAUGAAGGCGUGACUCCAGGGGGUUCCAGAGCCAACCCAACGGGUGCUGCUGGGGGAAAACCUUCCAGUGAACUGUGCACGUGGCAUGCACACACCUAAUUGAAAUCGAUAUGAGCAAGCACUCGAAAAAGAAAAAAUAUUUUGGUACAAAAUUCUGUGCAUAUGUACUAAUUAUAUAGGAAAUAAAAUUUGGUUUCAUUCCACAUCUUCUAAACAGAAGAAAAACCUGUAAUUUAAUUAUAAUGAAUGUUAAAGGGUAUAUCUAAUCCAGGAGAAAAUGCUUAAUUCAACGGCUGUACU